AGCAGUCGCCACGGGAAUACGGAGGGGGCUAGCGUUGUUCGGAAGUACUGGGCGUAAAGCGCACGUAGGCGGCUUGGUAAGUUAGAGGUGAAAGCCCGGAGCUCAACUCCGGAAUUGCCUUUAAGACUGCCGAGCUAGUAGGUGAGAGAGGUAAGUGGAAUUCCGAGUGUAGAGGUGAAAUUCGUAGAUAUUCGGAAGAACACCAGUGGCGAAGGCGGCUUACUGGCUCAUUCUAGACGCUGAGGUGCGAAAGCGUGGGGAGCAAACAGGAUUAGAGACCCGAGUAGUCCCUGUCUCUUAUAC
rnacentral:rRNA from 1 species